rnacentral:rRNA from 1 species
UGGGGGAAUAUUGGACAAUGGGGGGCAACCCUGAUCCAGCAAUGCCGCGUGUGUGAAGAAGGUUUUCGGAUUGUAAAGCACUUUCGGCGGGGACGAUGAUGACGGUACCCGCAGAAGAAGCCCCGGCUAACUUCGUGCCAGCAGCCGCGGUAAUACGAAGGGGGCUAGCGUUGCUCGGAAUGACUGGGCGUAAAGGGCGUGUAGGCGGUUUGUACAGUCAGAUGUGAAAUCCCCGGGCUUAACCUGGGAGCUGCAUUUGAUACGUGCAGACUAGAGUGUGAGAGAGGGUUGUGGAAUUCCCAGUGUAGAGGUGAAAUUCGUAGAUAUUGGGAAGAACACCGGUGGCGAAGGCGGCAACCUGGCUCAUGACUGACGCUGAGGCGCGAAAGCGUGGGGG